GAAUUCUAUUGGUCCACUGAUUCGACGAAAAUACGCAUGCGCACUAAGAAUUAAUUUUGCAACACUAGCGCCUCCAAAUCAACGGUUUAAUAACAAUAUAGGUUAUGUUAUUUUCGUUCUUGUUGGCAUUGUAAAGAUGUAUUAUUUUCCGGACAAAGCAUGUUUAUAAUUCAAAUGAGACAAUAACCUCAAAUGCGUAGCGUCUACUUCAAAGCUUUGUGUUAAAAAAUAUGGCAAAUAUAAUCGAUUCUCUUAAAAAACUUAGCGUAGAGAACGGUACAGCGAAACAGAAUAACAACAUGUCUGUGAAGAAGAAAAACGAAUUAGUAUUAUCGGUUGAAGAAACGGUGUUUCGAAAAAGUUAUGUUUUAGCAGUUUGUGGAACUCAAAGUGAACCAGAAUUCAGAAUCGGAACGGCUUCAUCCAAUCAUUUGUGCGUCAUCUAUACAGCAGGAGAAACUUUAAGUAGGACUACUACGUUAACUCAUAAUAAAGCUACUAUUGUUGGAAUCAAAUUUAGUCCUACCUCCAAGAAUAUUAUAUAUACGGCAACUAAUAAAGGAAUAAUUACUGCAUGCGAUUUACGUGCUAAAGGAAAAGCAGUUGCAGAAUUUAAAGAUAGUUCUGAAGAUGGAAAAUUAAAACCAUUAGCUAGUUUUGAUAUAAGUUGCGAUGAAAGACUUAUUGCUGGUGGAACCGAACACAUCGGUGGAGAUACAUUUAUUUUGUUUUGGGAUAUCAGGCAUAGUAAUUCUAAAGUAGAAUGUAAGGAUAAUAAUCUUCUUGGAGGUUACUGGCAGUCACAUAUGGAUGAUGUGACUCGCUUAUCAUUUCAUCCCAACAAACGAGAUAUUUUGGCAUCCGGUAGUGUAGAUGGUCUUAUCAAUAUCUUUGAUCUAACGCAGCCUACAGAAGAUAUGGCAUUAAGAUAUUCAUUAAAUACCGAGUCCUCGGUGGAUGGAUUAGGCUGGAUGAACAAUGACAAUCUAUGGUGUACAACAUUUACAUCGUCGUUGCAAUUUUGGAAUGCUGAAGGAGUAACUCCAUAUACAAGGUUCAAACGUAGCAGUUUAGCAUUAGCACACGGUGAUGACCCAGAUAAUUGCUACAUAGUUAAGUUUCAUCCUUCGAAUGCGCUUGGACAACCAUUCCUAUUAGCAGGAUCAGAUAAUGUUAAAGGUGAAAAUUUAAGAUGUCUAAGCGUCGUAAACAAUCAACUAGAAAUCUGUUAUAAUCUUAUUGGAAAUAAGCAGUAUGUAAGGGACAGUUGGUUACAUGAAAAGAGUAACUCUUUAGUAACUGUCGGAGAAGAUGGUUUAAUAAAUAUUUGGAGACAGUCAGAGUCUAGUGGCGUUCAACAAAGUGCAGGCCAGAAAUUAUUAACAAAGAUCGGUAGUGGGAAAAGCCGAGAACGUCAGCAUAGGGCCAAACCAUACUAAGCGUUAAUAAUAGGAUAAAGAUCUAUAAAUGGACACUAUUUUCGGAAGAAAGCAUCACAACGACCACUUACCCAAAGCACCAUGUUAUCGUAAGCAAAUGGAUAAACAUAAAACAACUUACGCUGUACUGUGAGGUAUUGUUCGUGUUCCGGACUCAGUGAGAUGCGUAUGAAUUGGCGGUGUAACGAUGGAAGGGGUUGAAAUAGAUUUCUGGAGAGGUAAACGUGCACCAGUUAAACCUGGCAUCAAACUGCUACUUUCACCUAAUCUUUGACUAUUUCUUUUUAAGACAAUCUUCUGAUAUUCACUCUGUGACAGGAAAGUACAUACGUAUAUUACUAUACCUGUAUUUUUGACCAAUGUUUCUAAUCUAAAAUUACCUGCACAAGGUCUGCCUCAUUUAAGGAAUGAGUACUUGCUUGUGAUCUGCAUGCUCGAUUACCUACCCCUACAAGUCCACUACAAGAUUUUCCAUCUAGUUCUAGUUCCAUUUCACUGUCCAGACUACUUAAACUAAUGCUGCGUUGUCGCUGAAAUAAUAAUGAAUGAUUUUGCCCGGAAUAUCUGCGUCGACCACGUCUAGUAUCUUCCAAAUCUGUCCAACUUCGUCUUCUGUCUAUGCCCUGUACAGGUUGUGCAUGAGAGUUCAUAGAUGGAAAAUGUGUCGGAGAGCUAUUGGUUGAACAGUUAACAAGGAGAUCUGGAUCAGAUCCUGCUUCAUGAUUAUUGGAACGAUGUCCACCCUCUAUAAGUAUCAAUGGACAUAAGGAAGGACACGAAAAGGUCAGUCUUUGAGGUACAUCGUGGGGCAUACGAUUAUUGUUUCCCAAAGUAUUCAUCGUCAAGUCUCUCAUACGUUGAAUCCAGUCAUGAAUUUCAUGCAAAUGCUGCAGAUUGUCCUCUGUAAAAAAAAAAAGAAAAAAAAAAAAGAAAAAAAAAUCGUAAUUUCAGUAAUUAGAUACAGACCGAUGAAUUCUUAUUAGUUAGAUAUGAAAUUUGAUCCAAAAUAUUUACCUAAUACAGGAUAGUUCUUAGCAAAACCAGGAGAAUGAGGUGUGACACUAAUAAUGGGUACAAGAGGAUUAGGCUGAGUUUGAAUAUUAGUACCAAGUGUAAGCAACGGAUGUUGCUGUUGCUGCUCAGAAUUCCCUCCAGACAUGGUGAUUGUUUUAUUGGUAUUAUCUUCGGUAUAACCAGUUUCUGUGACUAUAUUUCCAUGUAGACUCAGGCCACCAAGAUCUCCAUUAAUAGUAGGCACACGGUCACAGUCGGAAUGCGAUGAGCCAAGAUAGUCCGUUAUUACAUCCUCUUCGCUAUCCUCUCCGCUAUUGGGACAUUCAUCUAAAAAAAUAUUGAUAUUGCUAAUAUACACUUGUAAUUAGUUGAAAAUUUAUAAUACGUAUCUAUUCCCAUUGUUCUGUCUAA